CACUGAACCUCUGAGCUACAACCCCAGCUCCAGACCCUUUUUCUAAACAAGGUUUUAUACUGAGGUUCUGAGAGGGAAAAUAACUGGAAGCAGUAUUCAAUCUAUUACAGUAAUCAAGAGCUAAGGGACUCAUUAUUUUGCCUAGGCUGGUUUCUAACUCCUGGGCUCAAGUAAUCCUCCUUCCUCAGCCUUCCAAGUAGCUAAGACAACAGAUAAGAUCUCACUAAGCUCCUCAGGCUGGUCUUCCAUUUAUGAUCUUUCUGCCUCAACUUCCUGAGUGGCUUGGAUAGCAAGUGUGUGUCAUCACAUCAGGUUCCUUUGUUUUUUUUAAAUUAUCACUAAACAAUUUGUGAAGUUUCUGGGUAGAUGAUUGCUAGUAUUAUUUUAAAAUUUCAGAUUAAUGUAUUGAC